rnacentral:rRNA from 1 species
GACGAACGCUGGCGGCGUGCUUAACACAUGCAAGUCGAACGGAAAGGCCCUGCUUUUGUGGGGUGCUCGAGUGGCGAACGGGUGAGUAACACGUGAGUAACCUGCCCUUGACUUUGGGAUAACUUCAGGAAACUGGGGCUAAUACCGGAUAGGAGCUCCUGCUGCAUGGUGGGGGUUGGAAAGUUUCGGCGGUUGGGGAUGGACUCGCGGCUUAUCAGCUUGUUGGUGGGGUAGUGGCUUACCAAGGCUUUGACGGGUAGCCGGCCUGAGAGGGUGACCGGCCACAUUGGGACUGAGAUACGGCCCAGACUCCUACGGGAGGCAGCAGUGGGGAAUAUUGCGCAAUGGGCGGAAGCCUGAUGCAGCAACGCCGCGUGCGGGAUGACGGCCUUCGGGUUGUAAACCGCUUUCGCCUGUGACGAAGCGUGAGUGACGGUAAUGGGUAAUGAAGCACCGGCUAACUACGUG